rnacentral:rRNA from 1 species
UACGUAGGGUGCAAGCGUUAAUCGGAAUUACUGGGCGUAAAGCGUGCGCAGGCGGUUUUGUAAGUCUGUCGUGAAAGCCCCGGGCUUAACCUGGGAAUUGCGAUGGAGACUGCAAGGCUUGAAUCUGGCAGAGGGGGGUAGAAUUCCACGUGUAGCAGUGAAAUGCGUAGAGAUGUGGAGGAAUACCGAUGGCGAGGGCAGCCCCCUGGGAUAACACUGACGCUCAUGCACGAAAGCGUGGGGAGCAAACAGG